GUAGCACGGGACACGAGAAAUCCCGUGUGAACGAGCGGAGACCACUCCGUAAGGCUAAAUACUAACUGGUGACUGAUAGAGUAAUAGUACUGUGAAGGAAAGGUGAAAAGGACCCCGGGAGGGGAGUGAAAGAGAACCUGAAACCUUGUGUUUACAUUCUGUGGAAGCACGUUAAAGUGCGACUGCGUACUUUUUGUAGAACGGUCCGGCGAGUUACGCAUAUAGGUAGGUUAAGGGCUAAGAGGUCUGGAGCCGAAGUGAAAGCGAGCGUUAAAAGCGCGAAGAUCUAUAUGUGUAGACCCGAAACCGGGUGAUCUACCCAUGAGCAGUGUGAAGUUGCUGUAAGAGGCAAUGGAGGCGCGAACACACAUCUGUUGAAAAAGGUGGUGAUGACUUGUGGGUAGGGGAGAAAUUCCAAUCGAACUCGGAGAUAGCUGGUUCUCCUCGAAAUAGCUUUAGGGCUAGCCUUUCUUUAGUCUACUGCAGGUAGAGCACUGAAUUUCCUAGGGGGCGUCAAAGUUUGCCGAAGAAUAUCAAACUCCGAAUGGCAGUUAGAUGAUGAGAAGGAGUCAGACCAUAUGAGAUAAGUCGGAUGGUCAAAAGGGAAAGAGCCCAGAUCUGCAGCUAAGGUCCCAAAGGUAGUGUUAAGUGUGAAAGGAUGUGCGACUUCAUAGACAGCUAGGAUGUUGGCUCAGAAGCAGCCAUACAUUGAAAGAGUGCGUAACAGCUCACUAGUCGAGAGGUGGUGCGCCGAAAAUACACGGGGCUAAAACACUACACCGAAGCUCAGGGAUUCGAAAGAAUCGGUAGAGGAGCAUUGUUAGUUCGUAGAAGCCGUACUGAUAAAGAGCGGUGGAGGGCUAAGAAGAGAGAAUGCCGGAAUGAGUAGCGAGACUGAAGUGAGAAUCUUCAGGACCGAAUAUCCAAGGUUUCCAGGGUAAAGCUUGUCUUCCCUGGGUUAGUCGGGGCCUAAGGCGAGGUCGAAAGACGUAGUCGAUGGACAGCAGGUUGAUAUUCCUGCACUACUGUAUAUCAGAACUGUGAGGACGCGGUUUAAAGAGGUGAGUCAAGUGAAGGAACUUGAUUGGACAUGGAGGCCAGGUUAGGGGCAAAUACCUUAACGGAAUGGUAAGGACAUGAACGAUAGGGAACAAUAAAAGUACCGAAAGAGCUGAAUAAACUGCCAAGAAAAGUCACUAUUGCGUAUAUAGUACCCGUACCGCAAACCGACACAGGUGGAUGAGGAGAGAAUCCUAAGGUCGACGGGAGAAGUAUUGUUAAGGAACUCGGCAAAAAUGCCCCGUAACUUCGGGAGAAGGGGUGCUGAUAGUAAUCAGCCGCAGUGAAUAGGCCCAAGCAACUGUUUAGCAAAAACACAGGUCUAUGCGAAACCGAGAGGUGAAGUAUAUGGGCUGACGCCUGCCCGGUGCUGGAAGGUUAAGAGGAGAGGUUAGCGUAAGCGAAGCUUUGAAUCCAAGCCCCAGUAAACGGCGGCCGUAACUAUAACGGUCCUAAGGUAGCGAAAUUCCUUGUCGGGUAAGUUCCGACCCGCACGAAAGGCGUAAUGAUUUGA
rnacentral:rRNA from 1 species